rnacentral:rRNA from 1 species
UACGGAGGGUGCUAGCGUUGUUCGGAAUCACUGGGCGUAAAGCGCGUGUAGGCGGCCUGUUAAGUCUGAUGUGAAAGCCCGGGGCUCACCCCCGGAAGUGCAUUGGAAACUGCCAGGCUCGAGUCCCGGAGAGGAGGGUGGAAUUCCUGGUGUAGCGGUGAAAUGCGUAGAUAUCAGGAGGAACACCGGUGGCGAAGGCGGCCCUCUGGACGGUGACUGACGCUGAGACGCGAAAGCGUGGGGAGCAAACAGG